AUCCACCUUACUCGAACAAGUUUGUCAAUUUCGAUUCAUAUUUGUUGAUUAAAUCUAUAUGUGCAUGUGUGUUGUUGUUCUAAGAAUAGAUGGAUGUACACAAACUGUUGAUUUUGAUUCAAAAGCAAUGGAAUUUCUACCGUUAUUUUACAUUAGCUUUGGACGUUCUGGUUCUUCUCAAUUCGAUUUGAAGUGCUUUGAGGCAUCAUCUUAUAUAUUUUAGCUGUGAUUUCCAUGUAUAUGUUAGUUAAUAUUUGAGUCUAAAAUUAAUUUCCUGUUCUUAUGGCUUCUUUUCAUUUCUGAUUGACAGGUAAAGUUUUGGGCUAUUGAAGUUGCUGAUAGAGGAUCAUGGCCAAAAAGAAGAAGGCAAUUAUUUCCCAGAAGGCCAAGUUCUGGUGUUGUGUUCGUUAAUCCAUAAUCAUGAGGAAGUUUGCAUGUUUGAACAAAUAAGGAAGCAGACUCGAAGGACAAUUAAUUACAAUGGGUCAGGACUCAGGUAUCAUUUUUCCUUGGAAAGUGGCAAACAAUGCACUAUAUAGCCAGCCUUUAUGAAUCUCACCGUUUAUUGUCAACAUUUUUAUUACCCCAUUAAGUUGUGCUGGUCUUCAGAGAAUGUAAUCUGAUAAAAAUUGUGCAACAGGUCAACUUUAUGAAUCUCACUUUAGGUUCUAAUUCUCUAAAGAGUUUAACCUAACCCUUAUGCUAUGAGCUUUGCAUUGACAUUUUACUCUUAAUGCUACGAGUCUUGCAUGUAUUUGGGACGUGUCUCAUGAUGAGAGACUGAUUUUAUUUGUUAAGAUUGUCAAUCAAUUUUAUUUUAAAGUUUGCUUCAAAUAUGUUCUUCCUUAAUUUCUUCUUGGCUCUAGGAGUGGAUUAUCAUUAGUGGUGGCCUGUGUGAAUUGAUCAGCUUGGAAUUGAAAUGAGUAUUAACACACUCAGUGCGUCUUUCAAUUGCAUCAACUGUUUUCAUAAUGUGCAUUUGUAGUCUGUUUUGAAGUCUAACCACAUUAUAUGGUUGUAACCACCCCAGGUGUGACAGAAGAAGAUGUGACGCUUGACAUGUUGGGGCUACUUCAGUUUGGCUGUGCUUCUCGCCGUUGUUAAGAGUUUAGUGCAGGAAAAACUGGUCGAAGAGCCUGGUUUAGCUAAUGUUGAGACUACGCAAGUUGUAGGUUCUUCCGUUGAUGCUCAUAUUCCUAAAUAUCCAAGCAAAAGUAUUAACAGAUAGAUAGCUAUGAUCUCAACACUUGCAGCAAUGGAACUGUUCUUAUCAACACGGCUAGAUUUAGGUGUUUUUUGAAGGAUCUGACUGUUGUGGCAUUACCAUAUGAAAAGGUUUGCUUGUUAUCCACUUUGUUGCUCAAUUUAUGUUGUGCUUGGUUCCUUGAUGUAUUAUACUUUUCUUUCUUUUUUAUCAUCUGUAUGCAUGAUACUUGAAUGUGUAUUAGGUGCAUUGGAUGAGCAUUACUGAGGAGGUAGAUGGAAGUUCUUUAUGUCCUUGAACUUUGAUAUUUUCACUUUAUUAUUCUAUUUUUUUACACAAAAAUCAAAGUUAACUUCUACUAUGAGCAACUACAUUCAGAAUAUUAGUAACAAACAAAAAAGAUCUCCACAACGGGCAUGACGGACGUGCUUUGCACGUUGCCAUG